GCAUAUCAAUAAGCGGAGGAAAAGAAACCAACCGGGAUUGCCUUAGUAACGGCGAGUGAAGCGGCAAAAGCUCAAAUUUGAAAUCUGGUACCUUCGGUGCCCGAGUUGUAAUUUGGAGAGGGCAACUUUGGGGCCGUUCCUUGUCUAUGUUCCUUGGAACAGGACGUCAUAGAGGGUGAGAAUCCCGUGUGGCGAGGAGUGCGGUUCUUUGUAAAGUGCCUUCGAAGAGUCGAGUUGUUUGGGAAUGCAGCUCUAAGUGGGUGGUAAAUUCCAUCUAAAGCUAAAUAUUGGCGAGAGACCGAUAGCGAACAAGUACAGUGAUGGAAAGAUGAAAAGAACUUUGAAAAGAGAGUGAAAAAGUACGUGAAAUUGUUGAAAGGGAAGGGCAUUUGAUCAGACAUGGUGUUUUGUGCCCUCUGCUCCUUGUGGGUAGGGGAAUCUCGCAUUUCACUGGGCCAGCACCAGUUUUGGUGGCAGGAUAAAUCCAUAGGAAUGUAGCUUGCCUCGGUAAGUAUUAUAGCCUGUGGGAAUACUGCCAGCUGGGACUGAGGACUGCGACGUAAGUCAAGGAUGCUGGCAUAAUGGUUAUAUGCCGCCCGUCUUGAAACACGGACC
rnacentral:rRNA from 1 species